rnacentral:rRNA from 1 species
GACGGAGGGGGCUAGCGUUGUUCGGAAUUACUGGGCGUAAAGCGCGCGCAGGCGGUUCUUCAAGUCAGUGGUGAAAGCCCGGAGCUCAACUCCGGAACUGCCAUUGAAACUGUAGAACUUGAGUUCGGGAGAGGUGAGUGGAACUGCGAGUGUAGAGGUGAAAUUCGUAGAUAUUCGCAAGAACACCAGUGGCGAAGGCGGCUCACUGGCCCGAUACUGACGCUGAGGCACGAAAGCGUGGGGAGCAAACAGGG